GUACGUAGGUGGCGAGCGUUGUCCGGGAUUACUGGGCGUAAAGGGCGCGUAGGCGGCCAAUUAAGUCAGAUGUGAAAACCCCAGGCUUAACUUGGGGAGUGCAUUUGAAACUGAUAGGCUAGAGUGUCGGAGAGGGAAGCGGAAUUCCUAGUGUAGCGGUGAAAUGCGUAGAUAUUAGGAGGAACACCAGUGGCGAAGGCGGCUUUCUGGACGAUAACUGACGCUGAGGCGCGAAAGCGUGGGGAGCAAACAGGAUUAGAUACCCUGGUAGUCCACGCUGUAAACGAUGGAUACUAGGUGUGGGAGGUAUCGACCCCUUCCGUGCCGCAGUAAACGCAAUAAGUAUCCCGCCUGGGGAGUACGGCCGCAAGGUUGAA
rnacentral:rRNA from 1 species